CCUACGGGUGGCAGCAGUGGGGAAUAUUGCACAAUGGGGGGAACCCUGAUGCAGCGACGCCGCGUGAGUGAAGAAGUAUUUCGGUAUGUAAAGCUCUGUCAGCAGGGAAGAAGAAAGACGGUACCUGACCAAGAAGCCCCGGCUAACUACGUGCCAGCAGCCGCGGUAAUACGUAGGGGGCAAGCGUUAUCCGGAUUUAUUGGGGUUAAGGGGUGCGUAGGCGGAAUGCCAAGUCAGCGGUAAAAUCGCGGGGCUCAACCUCGCUCCGCCGUUGAAACUGGCGUUCUUGAGUGGGCGAGAAGUAUGCGGAAUGCGUGGUGUAGCGGUGAAAUGCAUAGAUAUCACGCAGAACUCCGAUUGCGAAGGCAGCAUACCGGCGCCCAACUGACGCUGAAGCACGAAAGCGUGGGUAUCGAACAGGAUUAGAUACCCCAGUAGUC
rnacentral:rRNA from 1 species